AGAGCGAACGCUGGCGGCAUGCUUAACACAUGCAAGUCGCACGGGCACUUCGGUGUCAGUGGCGGACGGGUGAGUAACGCGUAGGUAUCUAUCCUUGGGUGGGGGACAACUGUGGGAAACUACAGCUAAUACCGCAUGAUAACUGAGGUUUAAAGGCGCAAGUCGCCUGAGGAGGAGCCUGCGUACGAUUAGCUAGUUGGUGGGGUAAAGGCCUACCAAGGCGACGAUCGUUAGCUGGUCUGAGAGGAUGAUCAGCCACAUUGGGACUGAGACACGGCCCAAACUCCUACGGGAGGCAGCAGUGGGGAAUAUUGUACAAUGGGCGCAAGCCUGAUCCAGCAAUGCCGCGUGUGUGAAGAAGGUCUUCGGAUUGUAAAGCACUUUCGACGGGACGAUGAUGACGGUACCGUAGAAGAAGCCCGGCUAACUCGCGCCAGCAGCCGC
rnacentral:rRNA from 1 species